rnacentral:lncRNA from 1 species
GUGGAAUGUGAUGAACAUCAUUAUCCAAAGUACAUGUAUGAAGACACAAAUUGGUAUGAACAUACUUUGUAUACAACCAGAGAUAUGAAAAAUUGUGCUCUGUAUGUGUAAUAAGAAUUGUUUUUUUUUUAAUAUUUAUUUUUAGUUGUAGUUGGACACAAUACCUUUAUUUAUUUAUUUAUUUAUUUAUAUGUGGUGCUGAGGAUCGAACCCAGGGCCUCGCAUGUGGUAGGCGAACACUCUACCACCAAGCCACAACCCCAGCCCUGUAAUAGGAAUU